GACGAACGCUGGCGGCGUGCUUAACACAUGCAAGUCGAACGGUGAAGCUCCAGCUUGCUGGCUUUGAUCAGUGGCGAACGCGUGAGUAUCACGCGUGCAACCUGCCCCUAACUCUGGAAUAAGACCUGGAAACGGCGUCUCAUACUGGAUACGAUCAUGUUCCGCAUGUGCUCUUUCUGGAAAGUACUUCGUUUGUGGAUGGGUUCGCAGCCUAUCCGCUUGUUUGUGAGGUAAUGGCUCACGAAGGCGACGACGGGUAGCCGGCCUGAGAGGUCGACCGGCCACACUGGGACUGAGACACGGCCCAGAAUCGUACGGGAGGCAACAGGGGGGAAUAUUGCGCAGUAGGCGAAAGCCUGAUACAGAGACGCCGCGUGAGGGAUGACGGCCUUCGGGUUGUAAACCUCUGUCAGCGGGGAAGAAGAGAAAGUGACGGUACCUACAGAAGAAGCACCGGCUAACUACGUG
rnacentral:rRNA from 1 species